UGUGAGUAACUGAGGUUCUUCCUCCUUCAGAAAAAAACCCAAAAAGCAGCUUUUGGGUUCUUGUUCCAAAUAGCAAAUGCUGAAUGACCUAAGAAAAUCUGAAUGGGUGUCUAAGGGUGAUAAAGUGAACAGACUGGUUGCACUGAUGGACAUGGGUUUGAAGAGUGGUUGGCUCAGGACACAUGGAUGGAGCUCCACAUCAGCUUCUGUCAUUAAAUGGAGAGGGAAGCUUUCAAACUCACCACUGAGGCUCUGAACUGGCUUUAAAUGAAAGGUGUUGUGCUUCUGAAGUGCCCUGCCCAAGAGCUCUCCAGCAAUCCAAACAGCCAGCAGACAAAGCCAUUAAACCUGAAGUGCCCAUGCAUGAUUACCUGGCAGAGAGCUGCAGGAGAGGGUUUGCAGCUGAGUCCCACAGGAACAGGCUUUGUCUGAAAAACAACCCCCGGCAGGUGCAGACUCGGUUGGAAAAAGCCAAGGCUGCUGAUGCCUGUCCUGCAUCUCCCUACCAGCCAUCCAAGGUUUGUCCCGCAGCCGCAGAGGAUCAGACAGAUCAGUGUUUGGGAGCAGGGGCUUUGCUGCCACAGAGAUCUCCACACUCCAGUCCUUGGUCUGCAGCCUGGGAGAGAGCCAAAGCAGUGCUUUGGUGUGUUGCUCCAGCAGCUGGUCAGAGCAGGAGAAUGCCAGCCUUCCAGAGAGAACAGGGAGUGGGGCUGAAAAAAAGGGAGGAAGAGGAGACAUGACUCAGGGGAGGGCAGUGCCCCUCUGAAUCAGGAGGACACCUCUGCAUUGACCAGUGUCCUUGGAUGAGGGAGGAUUCAGGUCGGGAAGAGCAGAGGGCUCAGCCAAGGCAUCAGUCAGCUCGCCCUGGAGAAGUCCUGCUGGCUCCCAACUUGCCAUUU